UACGUAGGGUGCAAGCGUUGUCCGGAAUUAUUGGGCGUAAAGAGCUCGUAGGCGGUUUGUCGCGUCGAAUGUGAAAACCCGGGGCUCAACCCCGGGCCUGCAUUCGAUACGGGCAGACUAGGGUUCGGUAGGGGAGUCUGGAAUUCCUGGUGGUAGCGGUGAAAUGCGCAGAUAUCAGGAGGAACACCGGUGGCGAAGGCGGGACUCUGGGCCGAUACUGACGCUGAGGAGCGAAAGCGUGGGGAGCAAACAGG
rnacentral:rRNA from 1 species